UCCAAGCCGAGUCAAGACUGCAGGCACAGGGAGCACUUUGCAAAUGUUCCUAUUUUUCUUUGCUAAAGGCCUAGAAACAGACCUCUGGAUAGUAUGUUGAGGGAGUGUUUACGUGUAUAAGAAAUUGUCAAACUGGUUUGCUUAGUGGUUGUAUCGUUGGAUGUCUCACCAGCAGCAUAUGGAUUUGGACUUCUGCAGCUCCUUGCCAGUCUCGGUACUGUCAUAGAUCUGAAGCUUUCGGACUGGCUGGCUCUCUCUGAUACCAGUCUGGCAUGGGAAAGAGGGAGCAACUCUCUGUUACUGCCAAGUUAAGACAGAAGCCCAGGCUCCCUGCACACUUCCGUCAACACACGGUAGAGGUUAUCCAAACCAGAGAGACCUAGAAGGGAAAUGCAAAUGAAGCAGCUUGUUUUCCAGACUGGAAAGAUCUACCUGCAACCAGGAGAAACCUUGCUUCCUGGCACAUACACCGGUACCAAAAACUGUAUAAAAAGCCAGUGGACCUAAACAUCUACAGUGUCCUUCUUACAGACCAACUCUCUCUGAUCAGUGAAGAGCUUUUCUCUUAUGCUUUCUAACACACCUCUGGCCAUUCCCUACCGCUUGCCAUUUGCUAUGCCCAAUUACACCAAGUUGUGAAGACGUUUGCACAUAGAUAUUUAUAGCAGCUUUAUUUAUAAUUCUUAAACUUACACAUAACCAAGAUGGUCUUCAGAAGAAACAUGGAUAAAUAAACUGGCAUAUCUAGAUAGUGGACUUAUACUCAAGACUAAAAUGAAACAAGCUAUCUAGCCACAAAAAGAUAGGCAAGAAUUUUAUAUUACUAAGUGAAGGAAAUUAAUCAUAAAUGCUACAUAUUGCAUGUGUCUAUGACAUUCUGGGGGUAACCGAUUAAAAAAAAUUAGCAGCAGCCAGGGACUAAGGUGAAGGGGAGCUCUAUAGGUAGAGCACAGAAGAUUUUUAGGGCAGCGAAACUAUUCUUAUCACACUGUCAUGGUAGACACCUAUAAUUACACAAUUGUCAAAAUCCAUAAAAUAUCCCACCCCAGAAUGAACUGUAAGGUAAAUUACAGACCUGUGGUGACAUUGCUGUGUCAAUGAAAGCUCGUCAAUCAUAACAGUGUGCCCCUCGGAGGCAGGGUGGUGACUGUGGGAGGCUAUGCGUGUGUGAGAGGAGAGAGUAUAUGGGAAUUCUUUGUAUUUUCUGCUCUAUUUUGCUGUGAACCUAAAACUGGUCUAAAAAUAAAUUUUAUUUUUAAAAAGUUCUUCAGGGAGACAUAAAAUAUUGCAUUCAGAAACUCAGCUACUCACAGAAAAAAAGAUCG